rnacentral:rRNA from 1 species
GGGACACGUGGUAUCCUGUCUGAAUAUGGGGGGACCAUCCUCCAAGGCUAAAUACUCCUGACUGACCGAUAGUGAACCAGUACCGUGAGGGAAAGGCGAAAAGAACCCCGGCGAGGGGAGUGAAAAAGAACCUGAAACCGUGUACGUACAAGCAGUGGGAGCACGCUUAGGCGUGUGACUGCGUACCUUUUGUAUAAUGGGUCAGCGACUUAUAUUCUGUAGCAAGGUUAACCGAAUAGGGGAGCCGAAGGGAAACCGAGUCUUAACUGGGCGUUAAGUUGCAGGGUAUAGACCCGAAACCCGGUGAUCUAGCCAUGGGCAGGUUGAAGGUUGGGUAACACUAACUGGAGGACCGAACCGACUAAUGUUGAAAAAUUAGCGGAUGACUUGUGGCUGGGGGUGAAAGGCCAAUCAAACCGGGAGAUAGCUGGUUCUCCCCGAAAGCUAUUUAGGUAGCGCCUCGUGAAUUCAUCUCCGGGGGUAGAGCACUGUUUCGGCAAGGGGGUCAUCCCGACUUACCAACCCGAUGCAAACUGCGAAUACCGGAGAAUGUUAUCACGGGAGACACACGGCGGGUGCUAACGUCCGUCGUGAAGAGGGAAACAACCCAGACCGCCAGCUAAGGUCCCAAAGUCAUGGUUAAGUGGGAAACGAUGUGGGAAGGCCCAGACAGCCAGGAUGUUGGCUUAGAAGCAGCCAUCAUUUAAAGAAAGCGUAAUAGCUCACUGGUCGAGUCGGCCUGCGCGGAAGAUGUAACGGGGCUAAACCAUGCACCGAAGCUGCGGCAGCGACGCUUAUGCGUUGUUGGGUAGGGGAGCGUUCUGUAAGCCUGCGAAGGUGUGCUGUGAGGCAUGCUGGAGGUAUCAGAAGUGCGAAUGCUGACAUAAGUAACGAUAAAGCGGGUGAAAAGCCCGCUCGCCGGAAGACCAAGGGUUCCUGUC